UUUUUUUUUUUUUUAGAGAAAGGUAUCAUUCUACGGAAAAAUUCUAGAAUGCAACGGGUAUAUUAGUGACACCGCGUAACAAGCAAAUUAAAUUAAUUCUUUUAAGAAUAUGUCCCAUCAUGAUUGUAAAAAAAUAUUUUUAUUGUACUUUUGUUUGAAAAGAAGGAAUGUGAUUGGCUUGUUAUUGAUUAUGUGGUGCAAGUGUGACAGUGUAGAAAGAUAUCAUUCUACG
rnacentral:lncRNA from 1 species